CAGCCGCCACGGUAAUACAGAGGAUGCAAGCGUUAUCCGGAAUGAUUGGGCGUAAAGGGCUCGCAGGCGGUUUCUUAAGUCUGAUGUGAAAGCCCCCGGCUCAACCGGGGAGGGUCAUUGGAAACUGGGAAACUUGAGUGCAGAAGAGGAGAGUGGAAUUCCACGUGUAGCGGUGAAAUGCGUAGAGAUGUGGAGGAACACCAGUGGCGAAGGCGACUCUCUGGUCUGUAACUGACGCUGAGGAGCGAAAGCGUGGGGAGCGAACAGGAUUAGAUACCCCAGUAGUCCCUGUCUCUUAUAC
rnacentral:rRNA from 1 species